ensembl:lncRNA
CAAGACUAGGGUGUUUCGGGGACAGGCUACAUUGUUAUUGAGAGGAGUGUCCAAAAUGAACCUCCGGUUUCCACAGGAGUGUACAAGAAAGUGGUCAGCACAUUUUCCUAUAGUUGGAAGAAGCAGAAGGCCCUGAUAAGUGUACAGGAGAAACUGAGCCUGCCCCUCCACAAGCCCAUCACAGAAUCCCCGACAAGGUGGGGAUCUCACCUGCCGAUGAUGGAGAGAGUCCUGGAGCAGGAAAAGGCCAUCACACAAGUCCUGGCAGCAGACAAAAAAAACAUAGUAACUUGCACACUCCUGGUAAAACAUUGAGGUCUUAGAAUCUGUCACGGCAGCACUUACGCCUCUCCAGGAUUUCACAGAUGCCCUGUCAGGAGAGACAUACAUGAGUGUGUCCUAUCUGAAGCCCGUCCUCCAUAUCGCCAAGAGGGAGGUUCUGAAAUCAUAUGAGGGCGAAGCCAAACUGAUCCGAGAGAUUAAGAUGAUGGUCCUCAAUUACCUGAAUGACAAAUACACCGACCCUGAAACAGUAGAGCUGCUCACCAUGGCUACCUUUCUGGACCCAAGGUUCAUGACCACCUACAUGACCACUGAGAAGCUGGUGGAGGUGAAUGUGAGAGCUGCCUCCGAGACAGAAGCCCUCCUGGUAGGGAACACAGCCGUGGGAGACUUCUCUCUUGAAGAGGACCAGAGUGAGAAAGAAGCUGCCACUGCUCCACAAUCAGUAAAUAAGUCCAAGAGCCUUGGUGCCUUUUUUAAGAAAACCAGUAGUGCAUCUGCCUUAAGAACACCGAGACAGGUCAUUGAGCAAGAGCUGGACAGCUACACUUUGAUGAUGGUAGCAGACAGUGAGGCUCAUCCAUUGGAGUGGUGGAGAGGCCACACAUCCAACUUCUCACAAGCACUUCCUGCUCUGGGUUCCAGAGCCCCUACACCUGUGGGUGUGGCCAUCCUAGCUCCGCCCACCAGACACUGGUGAAGACUAUGGUGCAACGGGGGCCCGGGGUCGGCAGUGACUUUGCAUACGCAGCCAUGGGGGUAUAAUGGGGUUCAGCUCCCUGGCUGACAGGUACACUGGAUGACAGCGGGGCAGGGAGACCUCCAGGCAGCAUCACAGACUCAUUGACAAGAGACAG